CGGCCCCUCCCCCCACCCUGCAGUGCCCCUGCAGCUCCUCGGGAGCAGCCAGAGCUCUCAGGUGCCGCUGCUGAGGGACAGCGACAGCUUAGCCCCCUCAGGACCCCCCCCCAGCGUGCUGAGGUACCUGGAGGAGCAGGUGAACACCUGGACCCCGCCCAGAGCCCCCGUCUAUG